CAGCCGCCGCGGGAAAACAGAGGGUGCAAGCGUUAAUCGGAAUUACUGGGCGUAAAGCGCGCGUAGGUGGUUUGUUAAGUUGGAUGUGAAAUCCCCGGGCUCAACCUGGGAACUGCAUCCAAAACUGGCAAGCUAGAGUAUGGUAGAGGGUGGUGGGAUUUCCUGUGUAGCGGUGAAAUGCGUAGAUAUAGGAAGGAACACCAGUGGCGAAGGCGACCACCUGGACUGAUACUGACACUGAGGUGCGAAAGCGUGGGGAGCAAACAGGAUUAGAUACCCCCGUAGUCCCUGUCUCUUAUAC
rnacentral:rRNA from 1 species